AUGAGGACACAGAGCUGCACUGGGUCCAGUGUGGACCUGUGCCCACGGGUCACAGAGGGCGUUCGUGUUCCUGCACACAAACGCGUCCACUCGCGCGCCUCACUCCCACUAACAAUGCAAAGUUUCCAACGCAGAGAGCGGUGGCGCGAUACUAAUAAUCAAUGUCUCUCAUUGACGGAGUUGCCAUGGCAACACCACAGGACACCUGAACGUUGCCGGUCUUCUGAAAAGUUGCAUAAACCACUUAACAAAAAUGUUCCCCCGAAAAUAAGACGCACGUGUUUGCGAAUAUAAGAGGAGCCAUUUGCACGGGCACGUGCGCAGACGCACAGCCGCGUGCACGCGCCAGCGAGGUGGAGAUGGCUGACGCGGAGCUGCUCGCGCUCCAGACGGACAGAUCCGAGGCGUGCGCCGCCGCUGGGGAAGCUGAAGCGGCACGAGCAGCCACUACUAAUACAAAUGGACUAAAUUAAUCCCAUUCUUGUUUGGGGACAUGAAAGCGGAUGGACGAAAUUGGGGAGGGGAGUGAGGUGGAGGGCGGAGCGGGGGGGGGGGGGGGGGGGGGGGGGGGGGGGGGGGGUGCCCUGUGCCCGCGACGAGGCUCGAAAAGAGAUGGAGCUGGACGGGAGGGGAGGGGGUGAGGGACGGAGUCGGGAGGAGGGGGAGUGGCGGCAGCGUGAAUUAAACGCAGGGAGAAUUAGAAUGAAUGAUGACAAGAUCUGCUCCGGUUUCCGCACCCUUUCAUGCCGGCGGUCGGGUUUUUUCGGGCUGACAGGGGCGAAAAGCACGGGCGGCGUUCGCCUCCGCGCGCGCGCCACACGCGCAGGCGUUAACGCGCAGGUGUUUCGCAUUUGAAUAUAAUAACACGCUGUUGCGACCUCGUGACGAGCCGAGAAUACGACAAUGGGCUCGCGCCGCCGCUGUGAGAGCCGCUCACCUGACGUCCUGUCAGGCUGCAGGACGAACGCUUUGUUUUUGUUGUACAGUAAUCUGUGUGACACCCGCUGAAUAAUGAGGCAGUUUAAGCCUCGGCUUUGUUGGAAAGUGCUUUAUCAAUGAAGGAAGAACGUGUCACGGGCUGAGGCAGAUAUUUGUGGCUCUACAUUAAAUUAAAGCAGACGUCUGAUUGCUCUGUACUGCUGUCAUGCUAUGAUGUGACUGUUUCCCACUGUAUUUUUAUUUAGCAUAGUAUGAAGUUCUUGUCAUAUUAGUCAAUACAACUUGCUAAAAAUAACUAAUAUGAUAUAAUUAUAUAACCUGAUUCAGUUUAUUUAUUUAUGUUUGCCUUUUUGCUGUUCAACACCAUGAAUUAAAUGAACACUGGUUACAAUAAAAAGUCCCACAUUUAGAUGUGAGUGAAGUCA
rnacentral:lncRNA from 1 species